rnacentral:rRNA from 1 species
GACGAACGCUGGCGGCGUGCUUAACACAUGCAAGUCGAACGGAAAGGCCCUGCUUUUGUGGGGUGCUCGAGUGGCGAACGGGUGAGUAACACGUGAGUAACCUGCCCUUGACUUUGGGAUAACUUCAGGAAACUGGGGCUAAUACCGGAUAGGAGCUCCUGCUGCAUGGUGGGGGUUGGAAAGUUUCGGCGGUUGGGGAUGGACUCGCGGCUUAUCAGCUUGUUGGUGGGGUAGUGGCUUACCAAGGCUUUGACGGGUAGCCGGCCUGAGAGGGUGACCGGCCACAUUGGGACUGAGAUACGGCCCAGACUCCUACGGGAGGCAGCAGUGGGGAAUAUUGCACAAUGGGCGGAAGCCUGAUGCAGCAACGCCGCGUGCGGGAUGACGGCCUUCGGGUUGUAAACCGCUUUCGCCUGUGACGAAGCGUGAGUGACGGUAAUGGGUAAAGAAGCACCGGCUAACUACGUGCCAGCAGCCGCGGUGAUACGUAGGGUGCGAGCGUUGUCCGGAUUUAUUGGGCGUAAAGGGCUCGUAGGUGGUUGAUCGCGUCGGAAGUGUAAUCUUGGGGCUUAACCCUGAGCGUGCUUUCGAUACGGGUUGACUUGAGGAAGGUAGGGGAGAAUGGAAUUCCUGGUGGAGCGGUGGAAUGCGCAGAUAUCAGGAGGAACACCAGUGGCGAAGGCGGUUCUCUGGGCCUUUCCUGACGCUGAGGAGCGAAAGCGUGGGGAGCGAACAGGCUUAGAUACCCUGGUAGUCCACGCUGUAAACGGUGGGUACUAGGUGUGGGGUCCAUUCCACGGGUUCCGUGCCGUAGCUAACGCUUUAAGUACCCCGCCUGGGGAGUACGGCCGCAAGGCUAAAACUCAAAGGAAUUGACGGGGCCCCGCACAAGCGGCGGAGCAUGCGGAUUAAUUCGAUGCAACGCGUAGAACCUUACCUGGGUUUGACAUGGAUCGGGAGCGCUCAGAGAUGGGUGUGCCUCUUUUGGGGUCGGUUCGCAGGUGGUGCAUGGCUGUCGUCAGCUCGUAUCGUGAGAUGUUGGGUUAAGUCCCGCAACGAGCGCAACCCUUGUUCACUGUUGCCAGCACGUUAUGGUGGGGACUCAGUGGAGACCGCCGGGGUCAACUCGGAGGAAGGUGGGGAUGACGUCAAGUCAUCAUGCCCCUUAUGUCCAGGGCUUCACGCAUGCUACAAUGGCUGGUACAGAGAGUGGCGAGCCUGUGAGAGUGAGCGAAUCUCGGAAAGCCGGUCUCAGUUCGGAUUGGGGUCUGCAACUCGACCUCAUGAAGUCGGAGUCGCUAGUAAUCGCAGAUCAGCAACGCUGCGGUGAAUACGUUCCCGGG